rnacentral:rRNA from 1 species
GACGAACCAUGCAAACGUUAUUCGGAAUCACUGGGCUUAAAGCGUGCGUAGGCGGCUCAGAAAGUUGGGUGUGAAAUGCCUCGGCUCGACCGAGGAAUUGCGCCCAAAACUACUGAGCUCGAGGGAGUUAGAGGUGAGCGGAACUCACGGUGGAGCGGUGAAAUGCGUUGAUAUCGUGAGGAACACCGGAGGCGAAAGCGGCUCACUGGGGCUUCACUGACGCUGAGGCACGAAAGCUAGGGGAGCAAACGGG